rnacentral:rRNA from 1 species
AUACGGAGGGUGCGAACGUUAAUCGGAAUUACUGGGCGUAAAGCGCGCGUAGGCGGUUCGGUAAGUGGGAUGUGAAAUCCCCGGGCUUAACCUGGGAACUGCAUUCGAAACUGCAAGUCUGGAGUAUGGUAGAGGAAAGUGGAAUUCCCGGUGUAGCGGUGAAAUGCGUAGGUAUCGGGAGGAACAUCAGUGGCGAAGGCGGCUUUCUGGACCAAUACUGACGCUGAGGUGCGAAAGCGUGGGGAGCAAACAGGAUUAGAAACCCCAGUAGUCC